rnacentral:lncRNA from 1 species
GCCCUGCACUGAUGUCCCAACCUGAACUUGCACCUUCUUCACUUUCUUCUUCUUGUUCUUCUUCCCUUUCUCAAAGGGUCGAGAACCAGAAGAUGAGCCUCCCACUAAGUUCACCGACUCCUUGUGGAGUUGGUGAUCCUUCUCAAAGUUCUGAAGCAACCCCAGUAACCCUUGGUAGUUUACUUCAGGCUUUGUCAUUCUAUAAUG